AUGUCCAUGUAAUCUUAUUCAUUAUAAUCUAGGAUCAUACCCCCCCCUCCUCCCCCAUGUAAUCUUAUUGGUUCUGAUCUGAAAGCCUAAACUGAUCCUACAGUAGAUCAGCAGGUCUGAACUGAUCCUACAGUAGAUCAGCAGGUCUGAACCGAUCCUACAGUAGAUCAGCAGGUCUGAACCGAUCCUACAGUAGAUCAGCAGGUCUGAACCGAUCCUACAGUAGAUCAGCAGGUCUGAACCGAUCCUACAGUAGAUCAGCAGGUCUGAACCGAUCCUACAGUAGAUCAGCAGGUCUGGACCGAUCCUACAGUAGAUCAGCAGGUCUGAACCGAUCCUACAGUAGAUCAGCAGGUCUGAACCGAUCCUACAGUAGAUCAGCAGGUCAGAACUGAUCCUACAGCAGGUCAAAACUGAUCCCACAGCAGAUCAGCAGGUCGAAACUGAUCCUACAGCAGAUCAGCAGGUCAAAACUGAUCCUACAGCAGAUCAGCAGGUCGAAACUGAUCCUACAGUAGAUCAGCAGGUCUAAACUGAUCCUACAGCAGAUCUAAACUGAUCCUACAGCAGAUCUAAACUGAUCCUACAGCAGAUCAGCAGGUCUAAACUGAUCCUACAGUAGAUCAGCAGGUCGAAACUGAUCCUACAGCAGGUCGAAACUGAGCCUACAGCAGAUCAGCAGGUCUAAACUGAUCCUACAGCAGAUCUAAACUGAUCCUACAGCAGAUCAGCAGGUCUAAACUGAUCCUACAGUAGAUCAGCAGGUCAGAACUGAUCCUACAGCAGGUCAAAACUGAUCCCACAGCAGAUCAGCAGGUCGAAACUGAUCCUACAGCAGAUCAGCAGGUCAAAACUGAUCCUACAGCAGAUCAGCAGGUCGAAACUGAUCCUACAGUAGAUCAGCAGGUCUAAACUGAUCCUACAGCAGAUCUAAACUGAUCCUACAGCAGAUCUAAACUGAUCCUACAGCAGAUCAGCAGGUCUAAACUGAUCCUACAGUAGAUCAGCAGGUCGAAACUGAUCCUACAGCAGGUCGAAACUGAGCCUACAGCAGAUCAGCAGGUCUAAACUGAUCCUACAGCAGAUCUAAACUGAUCCUACAGCAGAUCAGCAGGUCUAAACGGGUCCUACAGUAGAUCAGCAGGUCUAAAUGGGUCCUACAGUAGAUCAGCAGGUCUAAACGGAUCCUACAGUAGAUCAGCAGGUCUAAACGGAUCCUACAGUAGAUCAGCAGGUCGAAACUGAUCCUACAGCAGAUCAGCAGGUCUAAACUGAUCCUACAGCAGAUCAGCAGGUCUAAACUGAUCCUACAGUAGAUCAGCAGGUCUAAACUGAUCCUACAGUAGAUCAGCAGGUCUAAACUGAUCCUACAGUAGAUCAGCAGGUCUAAACGGAUCCUACAGUAGAUCAGCAGGUCUAAACGGAUCCUACAGUAGAUCAGCAGGUCGAAACUGAUCCUACAGCAGAUCAGCAGGUCUAAACUGAUCCUACAGUAGAUCAGCAGGUCUAAACUGAUCCUACAGUAGAUCAGCAGGUCUGAACCGAUCCUACAGCAGAUCAGCAGGUCUAAACUGAUCCUACAGUAGAUCAGCAGGUCUAAACUGAUCCUACAGUAGAUCAGCAGGUCUGAACCGAUCCUACAGUAGAUCAGCAGGUCUAAACUGAUCCUACAGCAGGUCUGAACUGAUCCUACAGUAGAUCAGCAGGUCUAAACUGAUCCUACAGCAGAUCAGCAGGUCGAAACUGAUCCUACAGCAGAUCAGCAGGUCAAAACUGAUCCUACAGCAGAUCAGCAGGUCGAAACUGAUCCUACAGUAGAUCAGCAGGUCUAAACUGAUCCUACAGCAGAUCUAAACUGAUCCUACAGCAGAUCUAAACUGAUCCUACAGCAGAUCAGCAGGUCUAAACUGAUCCUACAGUAGAUCAGCAGGUCGAAACUGAUCCUACAGCAGGUCGAAACUGAGCCUACAGCAGAUCAGCAGGUCUAAACUGAUCCUACAGCAGAUCUAAACUGAUCCUACAGCAGAUCAGCAGGUCUAAACUGAUCCUACAGUAGAUCAGCAGGUCAGAACUGAUCCUACAGCAGGUCAAAACUGAUCCCACAGCAGAUCAGCAGGUCGAAACUGAUCCUACAGCAGAUCAGCAGGUCAAAACUGAUCCUACAGCAGAUCAGCAGGUCGAAACUGAUCCUACAGUAGAUCAGCAGGUCUAAACUGAUCCUACAGCAGAUCUAAACUGAUCCUACAGCAGAUCUAAACUGAUCCUACAGCAGAUCAGCAGGUCUAAACUGAUCCUACAGUAGAUCAGCAGGUCGAAACUGAUCCUACAGCAGGUCGAAACUGAGCCUACAGCAGAUCAGCAGGUCUAAACUGAUCCUACAGCAGAUCUAAACUGAUCCUACAGCAGAUCAGCAGGUCUAAACGGGUCCUACAGUAGAUCAGCAGGUCUAAAUGGGUCCUACAGUAGAUCAGCAGGUCUAAACGGAUCCUACAGUAGAUCAGCAGGUCUAAACGGAUCCUACAGUAGAUCAGCAGGUCGAAACUGAUCCUACAGCAGAUCAGCAGGUCUAAACUGAUCCUACAGCAGAUCAGCAGGUCUAAACUGAUCCUACAGUAGAUCAGCAGGUCUAAACUGAUCCUACAGUAGAUCAGCAGGUCUAAACUGAUCCUACAGUAGAUCAGCAGGUCUAAACGGAUCCUACAGUAGAUCAGCAGGUCUAAACGGAUCCUACAGUAGAUCAGCAGGUCGAAACUGAUCCUACAGCAGAUCAGCAGGUCUAAACUGAUCCUACAGUAGAUCAGCAGGUCUAAACUGAUCCUACAGUAGAUCAGCAGGUCUGAACCGAUCCUACAGCAGAUCAGCAGGUCUAAACUGAUCCUACAGUAGAUCAGCAGGUCUAAACUGAUCCUACAGUAGAUCAGCAGGUCUGAACCGAUCCUACAGUAGAUCAGCAGGUCUAAACUGAUCCUACAGCAGGUCUGAACUGAUCCUACAGUAGAUCAGCAGGUCUAAACUGAUCCUACAGCAGGUCUGAACUGAUCCUACAGCAGAUCAGCAGGUCUGAACUGAUCCUACAGCAGGUCUGAACUGAUCCUACAGCAGAUCAGCAGGUCGACUAUGAGAUGCUUUAUAAAUAUACGGCCCUAGAUUGUCUUUGUAAAUUAACCUUUAAGUGUUUCAUCGAUAUCAGACCUGUGAUGUUUUGUAUCCAGUUCGUGUUUCUGUCUCCUGCUGUGUUAGUUGUCUGUCUGGCAGGGCAGUUGUGUCAUUCUCCUGUUUUAGACGAGUCGGUAGUACGAUACAACACAACAGUGUUUGCAUAGCAACAACCUACUUUUCAUAAACUCCCCCAAACAAAAGCCAAUUCCUCCGGAGAACAAAAGCAGCAUAUUAGGAUUUUUUAAUAUUUUACCUUUAUUUAACCAGGCAAGUCAGUUAAGAACACAUUCUUAUUUUCAAUGACGGCCUGGGAACAGUGGGGUUAACUGCCUGUUCAGGGGCAGAACGACAGAUUUUGUACCUUGUCAGCUCGGGGGUUUGAACUCACAACCUUCCGGUUACUAGUCCAACGCUCUAACCACUAGGCUACCCUGCCGCCCCACAUGGAGUUAGGAUUUGUUUGUUUGUUUGUUGUAAACAUUAAGUUAUGAGCUGUUUCAAAAUGAAGUUUUGAUUCAAAUUGAAAAUAUGUCAAAUGUGGUGAGUUUGUUUUGAUAGUCCAGAUGAAUAUAUUCGGCCUAAAAACCUACACGAAUAUAAAUAUUGACCUGAUGAUGAUGAUGAUGAUGAGACUGUUUUUAUAUGAGUGAUGUGCUUUACAUACUGAUUAGUGCUGCUAAGCUAAAUGUUUCUUUGAUUUGUAAUCAUCACACUGACCUCAAGGGUUGGUCUGAUCUAGUUGGCUUUUAGGAUGGGUGUUUAUGGGUUGGACAUACAGGGGGUCGGUUUCCCCAGACCCAGGUUAAGUUUAUUCCUGGACUGAAAAGCACUUUUAACUUUAAAAAAAAUUCUCAACUGAGAAUGCUUUUUUAAAUUUUAGAAGUGGCUUAACUUUUUGUCUGAGUAAACAGACCCAAACUGUAGCACUGUUUAGUCCUGACUUCUAUUUUAGUCAAAUAUUCCCAUUGACAUCAAUGCAAACUGAUGACGAUCCUCCCUUUUCAAAGAAGACAUGCCCUUGAGGAACAAAUGAUUGAAUAUGUACAUGUACCACAUUGUUGUUGAUGAAUUAGCUGAUUUUUCUAGGCAGUGAGUAAGACUUGCGGGAAACAAAAAUCCUUUAGAGAGCUCAACGGAAGUUAGUUUAAACGAGGCUGCAAUAAUUUAGUGACAAAAUUAAACGAGUCACCUCACUUGUCGUGGUUUUAAAAUGUUUUUCUCUGACCUGUGUUAUAUAUAUAUAUGGAGCUGUACAGCUUUAACACAAUAGUGGAGAACUCCCAGCCAAUAGUAUCAGCCUCUCAGGGUUGAAGGUCACUGAUAUGCAAAUGAGCUGUAUGUUCCUGUUUUGACUUGUGCCUGCGUGCACUCUGUUAUUUCACCAUGCUUCUGUAUGGAUAUAAAUGUAAAAGUAGUAGCACGUCGUUCUCCAUUGUUGUCAAGUUAAUUCUACCGUGCCAGCAAGAGCACAACAACCUGUAUGUACAUAGGUGAUGACAAAACUGUUCCCUCUGAUAAAAAAAAAAAAUGUGUAUAUAAUAUUGUUUCUAAAUGACUAUUUAACCCUCUAUGAUGUUACAUCUCCUAGUUUCCAUUGUACAUAGGAAAAUAAAACGGUUAAAGAAAA